rnacentral:rRNA from 1 species
GUCAAGUCCUCAUGGCCCUUAUGCCUAGGGCUGCACACGUCCUACAAUGGCACACACAGAGGGAAGCAACCUCGCGAGAGUAAGCAAAUCCCAAAAAAUGUGCCCCAGUUCGGAUUGGAGUCUGCAAUUCGACUCCAUGAAGUCGGAAUCGCUAGUAAUCGCGGGUCAGCAUACCGCGGUGAAUGUCGUUCCUGAGCCUU